rnacentral:rRNA from 1 species
GUGGGGAAUAUUGGACAAUGGGCGAAAGCCUGAUCCAGCCAUGCCGCGUGUGUGAAGAAGGUCUUCGGAUUGUAAAGCACUUUAAGUUGGGAGGAAGGGCAGUAAGUUAAUACCUUGCUGUUUUGACGUUACCGACAGAAUAAGCACCGGCUAACUUCGUGCCAGCAGCCGCGGUAAUACGAAGGGUGCAAGCGUUAAUCGGAAUUACUGGGCGUAAAGCGCGCGUAGGUGGUUUUGUAAGUUGGAGGUGAAAUCACCGGGCUCCACCUGGGAACUGCCUCCAAAACUGCAUGACUAGAGUACGGUAGAGGGUAGUGGAAUUUCCUGUGUAGCGGUGAAAUGCGUAGAUAUAGGAAGGAACACCAGUGGCGAAGGCGACUACCUGGACUGAUACUGACACUGAGGUGCGAAAGCGUGGGGAGCAAACAGGAUUAGAAACCCCGGUAGUCC